CAGGGCUAGUGGGCUUCGAUCCCACAAAACAUCAGUUAACAACAAAUUGCCCAAACCAACAGGCCUCAGCCCA
rnacentral:tRNA from 1 species